rnacentral:rRNA from 1 species
ACGAACGCUGGCGGCGUGCCUAAUACAUGCAAGUAGAACGCUGAAGAGAGGAGCUUGCUCUUCUUGGAUGAGUUGCGAACGGGUGAGUAACGCGUAGGUAACCUGCCUUGUAGCGGGGGAUAACUAUUGGAAACGAUAGCUAAUACCGCAUAACAAUGGAUGACACAUGUCAUUUAUUUGAAAGGGGCAAUUGCUCCACUACAAGAUGGACCUGCGUUGUAUUAGCUAGUAGGUGAGGUAAUGGCUCACCUAGGCGACGAUACAUAGCCGACCUGAGAGGGUGAGCGGCCACACUGGGACUGAGACACGGCCCAGACUCCUACGGGAGGCAGCAGGAGGGAAUCGUCGGCAAUGGGGGCAACCCUGACCGAGCAACGCCGCGUGAGUGAAGAAGGUUUUCGGAUCGUAAAGCUCUGUUGUAAGUCAAGAACGGGUGUGAGAGUGGAAAGUUCACACUGUGACGGUAGCUUACCAGAAAGGGACGGCUAACUACGUG